GUGGGGCAUGUUUAUUAAUUUACUUGGAGGAUUAACUAGCAAGUUGUAUCUUUGUAAAUGUCUCCAGGGGCUCUGGGGCACUUGUUUCUAGAAACACAAUGAAUGAAUGCCUCCUAACACAUUUCUAGCCUGAAACAGACCCUGUUGACUGCCCUCCGUUCUAUCACCCUGUCAUCGGCAAACAGUUCAGCUGCUGUGCUAAGAACCCUGAGAAAUAACUACACAAGACAAGAUUUCCGUUCUGUCUUUCACAUCCUUCAGGAGUUAUGCUGCAGACCUCUCCACACCCUCUGUACUGCAGUGGAUGUUGGAAGACUACAGGCAUUCUAUGGCAUCACGACACUACAGUCUAAGCCAAGAAGGGAGUGGUUCCCUCACCCAGUUUAUAAAUUAUCCAAUAAAUCCAAGUCGUUGGAAUCAAUGGAGCAUCAACAUGAAGAAGGUAUUGAAAACUAAGAGAAAAAAGGCCAGAGUUCUUUCAUGCAACAAAUAUGUAGUGGGCAUCUACUGUCCAAGGUGUUCAGGACCCAUGAGAACAGACAAAAGUUUCUACCCAGCCUCUGGUGGGGCAGGAGAGAGAACGGAAAGCAUUGAAAUCAGACACAGAAAGAAAAGCAGCAGCAGGACAGCUACCUACGAUGAAGGCCCCACACAGGCGUCUGGGUGGGCUGCAGUGAGAACACGCCUCGAAGGAAGGAGCCUCCUGUCUGCUCAGCACAAAGUCAUAACCCCCCAUAAACUUACCUAAGGCACUAAACUUCAUCCCAAGGGCUCCUACAGGGACACAGACAGCUGUGUCUUUGGACUCUUACUUCCUGGUCCA